UAGCUGAUGAUUUCUUUAGAUUUGCAAUCUAAUGUUUUAAUUAAACUAAUCGGCUG
rnacentral:tRNA from 1 species